GCUUGUCUCAAAGAUUAAGCCAUGCAUGUCUCAGUAUAAGCUUUUACACGGCGAAACUGCGAAUGGCUCAUUAAAACAGUUAUCGUUUCUUUGGUGGUUAUUGAUUACAUGGAUAACCGUGGUAAUUCUAGAGCUAAUACAUGCUGUAAGCCUGACUUUAUGGGAAGGUUGUAUUUAUUAGAUCCCAAACCGAUAGCUUCGGCUAUUGUGACGAAUCAUAAUAACUUGUCGGAUCGGGUAUUACUCGAUGGAUCAUUCAAGUUUCUGCCCUAUCAGCUUUCGAUGGUAGUGUAUUGGACUACCAUGGCGAUAACGGGUAACGGGGAAUUAGGGUUCGAUUCCGGAGAGGGAGCCUGAGAAACGGCUACCACUUCUAAGGAAGGCAGCAGG
rnacentral:rRNA from 1 species